AUUGAACGCUGGCGGAAGGCCUAACACAUGCAAGUAGAACGAGUGGCGGACGGGAGAGUAAUGUCUGGGAAACUGCCUGAUGGAGGGGGAUAACUACUGGAAACGGUAGCUAAUAACGCAUACCAUCGGAUGUGCACAGAUGGGAGUAGCUAGUAGGUGGGGUAAAGGCACACCUAGGCGACGAUCCCUAGCUGGUCUGAGAGGAUGACCAGUCACACUGGAACUGAGACACGGUCCAGACUCCUACGGGAGGCAGCAGUGGGGAAUAUUGCACAAUGGGCGCAAGCCUGAUGCAGCCAUGCCGCGUGUAUGAAGAAGGCCUUCGGGUUGUAAAGUACUGUCAGCGGGGAGGCGUUACCCGCAGAAGAAGCACCGGCUAACUCCGUGCCAGCAGCCGCGGUAAUUC
rnacentral:rRNA from 1 species